CAUAGGAUGCAAAGGCGAACUCGGGGAACUGAAACAUCUAAGUACCCGAAGGAAAAGAAAUCAAGAGAGAUUCUCCAAGUAGCGGCGAGCGAACGGGGAGGAGCCUGGCGUGAUUUAUUAUUGAACUGAGUAGAACAAUUUGGGAAAGUUGGCGAUAGAGGGUGAAAGCCCCGUAUACGAAGGUUUGAUGAGGAACUAGGCACGCGAACAAGUAGGCCGGGACACGUGAAAUCCUGGUUGAAGAUGGGUGGACCAUCAUCCAAGGCUAAAUACUACUUACUGACCGAUAGUGAACCAGUACCGUGAGGGAAAGGUGAAAAGAACCCCGGAGAGGGGAGUGAAAUAGAAUCUGAAACCGUUUGCGUACAAGCAGUGGGAGCAUGGUUUAGGCUGUGUGACUGCGUACCUUUUGUAUAAUGGGUCAGCGAGUUACUUUCAGUGGCGAGGUUAACUGAAUAAGGGAGCCGUAGAGAAAUCGAGUCUGAAUAGGGCGAUAGUCGCUGGGAGUAGACCCGAAACCGGGCGAUCUAGCCAUGUGCAGGAUGAAGGUUGGGUAACACCAACUGGAGGUCCGAACCGGGUAAUGUUGAAAAAUUAUCGGAUGACGUGUGGCUAGGAGUGAAAGGCUAAUCAAGCCCGGAGAUAGCUGGUUCUCCCCGAAAGCUAUUUAGGUAGCGCCUCGUGAAUGAUUACUGGGGGUAGAGCACUGUUUCGGCUAGGGGGCUGUCAUGGCUUACCAAACCGAUGCAAACUCCGAAUACCGGCUAAUUGAAUCACGGGAGACACACGGCGGGUGCUAACGUCCGUCGUGGAGAGGGAAACAACCCAGACCGCCAGCUAAGGUCCCCAAGUACUAGUUAAGUGGGAAACGAUGUGGGAAGGCAUAGACAGCCAGGAGGUUGGCUUAGAAGCAGCCACCCUUUAAAGAAAGCGUAAUAGCUCACUGGUCGAGUCGGCCUGCGCGGAAGAUGUAACGGGGCUAAAACUAGUCACCGAAGCUGCGGAUGUGCGCGAAGGCGCACGUGGUAGGGGAGCGUUCUGUAGGCUGAUGAAGGUGCAUUGAGAAGUGUGCUGGAGGUAUCAGAAGUGCGAAUGCUGACAUGAGUAACGAUAAUGUGGGUGAAAAGCCCACACGCCGGAAGUCCCAGGUUUCCUGCACGACGUUAAUCGGAGCAGGGUGAGUCGGCCCCUAAGGCGAGGCUGAAGAGCGUAGUCGAUGGGAACCAGGUUAAUAUUCCUGGACUUUUUAUAAGUGGUGAAGUGGGGACGAAGAAGGCUAGGUGAGCCAGGCGUUGGUUGUCCUGGUACUUGCAUGUAGGGGGGAAGACUUGGCAAAUCCGGUUUUCCAUAACUCUGAGGUGCGAAGUGGUUCUGACCUUUUGGUACAGAGAAGUCAUUGAUGCCCGGCUUCCAGGAAAAGCUGCUAGCCAUAACUUAUAGAGAACCGUACCGCAAACCGACACAGGUGGACAGGUAGAGAAUACUAAGGCGCUUGAGAGAACUCGGGUGAAGGAACUAGGCAAAAUGGUACCGUAACU
rnacentral:rRNA from 1 species